UACGAAGGGGGCUAGCGUUGCUCGGAAUCACUGGGCGUAAAGGGUGCGUAGGCGGGUCUUUAAGGCGGAGGUGAAAUCCUGGAGCUCAACUCCAGAACUGCCUUCGAUACUGUAGAGCUUGAGUUCGGGAGAGGUGAGUGGAACUGCGAGUGUAGAGGUGAAAUUCGUAGAUAUUCGCAAGAACACCAGUGGCGAAGGCGGCUCACUGGCCCGAUACUGACGCUGAGGUGCGAAAGCGUGGGGAGCAAACAGG
rnacentral:rRNA from 1 species